CCAUUUAGUGGGGAAUAACUGUUGGAAACGACAGCUAAUACCGCAUAAUAUUGCUGGAUAAUUUCCAGUAAUGAAAGGAGCUUUCAAGCUCCGCUGAUUGAUGAGGAUGCGGCGCAUUAGCUAGUUGGUAGGGUAAUGGCCUACCAAGGCAAUGAUGCGUAGCCGAUCUGAGAGGAUGAACGGCCACAUUGGGACUGAGACACGGCCCAAACUUCUACGGAAGGCAGCAGUAGGGAAUUUUUCACAAUGGGCGAAAGCCUGAUGGAGCAAUGCCGCGUGACUGAUGAAGGUCUUCGGAUUGUAAAGGUCUGUUGUAAGGGAAGAGAUGGUAUAACAGGAAAUGGUUUUAUCUAUGACGGUACCUUACCAGAAAGCCACGGCUAACUAUGUGCCAGCAGCCGCGGUAAUACAUAGGUGGCAAGCGUUAUCCGGAUUUAUUGGGCGUAAAGGGUGCGUAGACGGUUUUGCAAGUCUGANGUUAAAUUUAGGAGCUCAACUCCUAAUCGCCUUGGAAACUACAAGACUAGAGUAUAGGAGAGGUUAGUGGAAUUCCAUGUGUAGCGGUGGAAUGUGUAGAUAUAUGGAGGAACACCAGUGGCGA
rnacentral:rRNA from 1 species